rnacentral:lncRNA from 1 species
CUUGCUACUACCGUAAUAAUUCUUCUUCUAUUUGUUGGUACAUAUUUUCUCAUAUCAAGAAAAUGUAAAACAAAAACUUCAACACCUCAAACGACAAUUCCACUUACUGUACUUUCCACACAAUCAACAACCCAUUCUGGGGAGAGAAGUUCACCAACCAACGAAGAACCUCAAGAGCUGCAGAAAAAACCUCCAGAACCUAGCAGUCGUAGUCUCAUCAAAUAUGGACCAAUAACAUUUUGAACUUUUGAAGAAAUUUCUUAUACUGAUAACAAUUAAUAUCAGUGUAUAUUUUAUAUUUCAAGUGUUUUUUUUAAGUUGUGUAAUGAAUAAUAUAGCUACUAAAAGAAAACCAAAAGAACUGUGACUAUAAUUUUCAUGAAAAAAGGAAGAGAAAAGGGGAAAAGAAAAAAAAAGGGAGAAGAAAAAGAACUUAUCAAAGAAUGAAAAUGAGUGAAAAUGUUCAUCAAACACAGUGGAGUGAUGUCAAGACCGAGACUGUCAACAUCCAUUAUAAUCACUUUCACUUAUAAUAUCACUUAUAUAAUAUGUUUUUCUUGUAUGUGUACUUAUAUAUAUAUAUCUUCGUAUUGUAUAACCCGAAAAUUUAUAUUAAAUAUGUAAUCGCGACGGUAUAAUGAUACUCAGGGAAAUCGGUGAUCUUCCGUGAGAAUGUUGCAUUGUUUAAUAUCACACGGUCGGAAGAAACGAACAACAUCCGGAGGAAGUUGAAUAAGCAAACGGAGGGGAGAGCAGCAGUUGGAGUAGAGCGGCCGACGAAAGAGGACAUCAUCAUCGGUCCUCUGGCCAAAGUGUCCAAAAACACCUGGGACUGGGUCCUGCAAAAAAAGGAGGAGUAAGACAACAAUUUCUCCCGAGAACGGAUAAGAAAUCCUCUCUCCCCAGGCCUCUUUCCAAUCUGGGAGAUUAAUUAAAGGAUGGAGCCAGUUCCAGCCACAGGCUGCACCAACACCCAUGGAAGGGGAUUGGAUGGUGAAGGAUGGGGAUUGUCAUGCUGGACCCAGAAUCCCCAAAAUAACUUUUCAGGAUAUGCCAGAUUCAGUGUGGCAUGCCACACUGAAUCUGCCACAGAACCUGAAUCCUGUGGCAGAAUCUCCAGCAUGCCACCAUGUUACCACUGGACUAUCUGGCUGCUACAAUUAAACUAUUGUAGAAAUGUUAAAAGAAAAUAGUCUGAGAUUAUUUAAGACACAGUUGAAGGCUGUUAUUUGUCAAUUGUUGAUAGGUGAAG